UUCCCAGUGGCUCAGUUGGUAGAGCAUGGUGUUUGCAACGCCAGCAUGGUGUGUGCAACGCCAGGGUUGUGGGUAUGAUUCCCACGGGGGAAA
rfam:Salmo salar isolate Sally breed double haploid chromosome ssa27, whole genome shotgun sequence.